CCCUCCCUCUUUCUUCCUGCCUAACACAUGCAAGUCGAACGAGACCUUCGGGUCUAGUGGCGCACGGGUGCGUAACGCGUGGGAACCUGCCCUUAGGUUCGGAAUAACUCCCCGAAAGGGGUGCUAAUACCGGAUAAUGUCUUCGGACCAAAGAUUUAUCGCCUUUGGAUGGGCCCGCGUUUGAUUAGCUAGUUGGUAGGGUAAAAGCCUACCAAGGCGACGAUCCAUAGCUGGUCUGAGAGGAUGAUCAGCCACACUGGGACUGAGACACGGCCCAGACUCCUACGGGAGGCAGCAGUGGGGAAUAUUGGACAAUGGGCGAAAGCCUGAUCCAGCAAUGCCGCGUGAGUGAUGAAGGCCUUAGGGUUGUAAAGCUCUUUUACCCGGGAUGAUAAUGACAGUACCGGGAGAAUAAGCUCCGGCUAACUCCGUG
rnacentral:rRNA from 1 species